UGUGCAUGUUUGCUUUUGAAUAAAGAAGAGAGAUUUGUCUGGAAGCUGCUGACUGGGUCAACAGAGGCUGAACACUGAGGAGACAUGGAAGCUGUGAUUGGACUGUUGCUGAUGCUACUCAGAGUCUCUCAUGGUGUGAAACAUGUGAUGGCAGACAGGAUGGAGCUCAGUGUUAUGGAGCUUUGGGAGGAACUGUGUUCCUCCAGCUGAUGGACAGCGCCUCAGAAAUAUUUAGAUACCAAUUGUUAAGCAACAGAACAGGAAUACUUACAGGGACAAAGAAUCAGAUUUUUUAAUGUGAUAGAAGACAGAUCCUCAUUUACUCCCAGUAAUGGAACAUUUCGGAUCAACAAAUUGAGCUGGACUGAUGGUGGUGAAUAUACUGUUGUAAUCUUUGAUUCAAAUGGACAGAGAUCAGAGCUGCGGACUCUACAUUUGACCAUUCAAGCUCCUGUGUCCUCUGUCCUGCUGGUCUCUGAGUGUCUGUCCCAGGGAGAGAUGAGGGUGUCCUGCUCCUCUGAGGGAGGGGACAGUCCUCAGUACAGCUGGACUCUGGAUGGACACACACUGACAGACGCUCAGCUCCUCUCUGGAAACAAUGAGAGUAACAACAUCACUUUGAAACAAGACGUGUCAGGACAGCUGGUCUGCUCAGUCAGGAAUAACGUCAGUAGUGUCUCCAAAAAAGAGAAGAUAUCUACCUGUGGCUUCAUAUUCAUUAACUGCACCAUCAAUAUGACACACAUAUCACAGUGGGUGCUUGAAGCCAAUAACACCCUGUGCAUUGAACCAACAACAACAAACACCUACCAUGAUCACAGACACUGAGACCUCCACUGACAAUCGCUCCCAGCUCAUAUGUGGUGUGCGAGCAGCUGUGGUGAUUCUUUUAUUAAUUGGGAUCGCCAUCUAUUUUGUUUGGAAGAAAAAUAAAUAUCAGAUAGCUGAAGGCUCUGCCGACCCUCGAACAAUGAAAUAUCAAGAGAACUCUGUUGUGAUGGUUGAAAUGAGAAGUUCUGCAUCUGAACUUUAACUUUCUGAAACCAACACCUCAGUGUCGCCCCUCACACCUGCUGUGAUUGGCCUCAUGUCUUUCUGGAUGUGAAAACAGGGUUUAGAGUGGAAACUCUGUUCACUCUGUCACUUCACUGGUUAUUGACUUGGUGAA